rnacentral:rRNA from 1 species
CCUACGGGUGACAGCAGUGAGGAAUAUUGGUCAAUGGUCGCGAGCCUGAACCAGCCAAGCCGCGUGAGGGAGGAAGUCCCUGCGUAUGGUAAACUUCUUUUGUAAGGGAAUAAAUUGCGGCACGUGUCCCUUUUUGUGUGUACCUUAUGGAUAAGGAUCGGCUAACUCCGUGCCAGCAGCCGCGGUAAUACGGAGGAUCCGAGCGUUAUCCGGAUUUAUUGGGUUUAAAGGGAGCGUAGUUGGGUUGUUAAGUCAGUUGUGAAAGUUUGGGGCUCAACCGUGAAAUUGCAGUUGAAACUGGCAGGCUCGAGUACAGUUGAGGUAGGCGGAAUGCGUGGUGUAGCGGUGAAAUGCUUAGAUAUCACGAAGAACUCCGAUUGCGAAGGCAGCAUACUAAACUGUAACUGACAUUGAGGCUCGAAAGCGUGGGUAUCAAACAGGAUUAGAUACCCCGGUAGUC